rnacentral:lncRNA from 1 species
AAGAACAAAAGAAAGAAGAACCGUCGGAAAAAGAACAGAAUCGCAAAGAGAGAAAAAAAGAAAACCUUUGUUCUAUUGAUUUUUUUUAAUACAAUCUGUGUAUGAGGGUUUUUUUCAAUAUGCCUCGGUAUCCUCCUUUACAGAUUCUGAUUUAAUGGCUUAUGUAGCCGAAAAGAAAAAAUGAAAAAAAGAGAAUAUGCAAAACCCCUCGCCCC